AUUGAACGCUGGCGGCAGGCCUAACACAUACAAGUCGAGCGGAUGAAGGGAGCUUGCUCCUGGAUUCAGCGGCGGACGGGUGAGUAAUGCCUAGGAAUCUGCCUGGUAGUGGGGGAUAACGUCCGGAAACGGGCGCUAAUACCGCAUACGUCCUGAGGGAGAAAGUGGGGGAUCUUCGGACCUCACGCUAUCAGAUGAGCCUAGGUCGGAUUAGCUAGUUGGUGGGGUAAGGGCCUACCAAGGCGACGAUCCGUAACUGGUCUGAGAGGAUGAUCAGUCACACUGGAACUGAGACACGGUCCAGACUCCUACGGGAGGCAGCAGUGGGGAAUAUUGGACAAUGGGCGAAAGCCUGAUCCAGCCAUGCCGCGUGUGUGAAGAAGGUCUUCGGAUUGUAAAGCACUUUAAGUUGGGAGGAAGGGCAGUAAGUUAAUACCUUGCUGUUUUGACGUUACCAACAGAAUAAGCACCGGCUAACUUCGUG
rnacentral:rRNA from 1 species